CUGCUAAACAGGUCUAUAUUUCCAUGAUGGACAUUUAAAUUUGUUCCAGAAUUUCUUGUUAUACCCAGUGCUUUGAUGCUCAGCCUUAUAUCUAACUCUUUGUAGCCAUCCUUGCCUAUUUAUUUGUAGACCUGUCAGGGACCUGGCAGGCCCUGUGAGAACCAUGAAGGGAGUCGGAUUUCACAACCGAAUGUUUGCAGUAUUUGGAAUGAGUUCUCAAUUUUUCCAUCUCUCACUCUAAUCACCUUAAAGGGGGGACAGCUGUGGCCCUGCCGAAGGCUCUUUCCUUCUCACCCAAGAACCACCUCACUAUCUGAAAACGGUCCUCGCCAGCGUCCUCCUUUGGCCAGCAGGGGGCGGCAGAUGCUCGUAAUGUGUGGAGAAAGUCUCGGCCUCUGCGUUUCCCGCCUCCCCUUCCAUCCUUAAAAUAACUCCCCUAACUCCAGCCUUCAACUCAUUUAAUCCCCAAAUCGCGCCAUUUCAUAGAUGUAGCUGGGGCUCUGACCAAAGUCACACGUUCAGUCAGAAGCAAGAUCAGAAUUCCAAUUCCAGGCCAUCCGACUUCGGGGUCCUGGCUCUGGUCCACACCGCUGAAGUCUUCCUGUGAGCGGUUUCGCCGUCCACUUUGUAUAUACAUUGGCGAGACUACAGGUGUAAGUUAGAAUCUCUCCGUCAUUUACCAGACACGUGCUGUCGGGGCGAUUAAUUCAUGUCUCCAGAUCUCAAUUUCCUCAUCUGUGUAAUGGGAUAAUAAUGGUUCCUCCCUCGUGCGUGGUGCAUAUGAGGUUUAAACGAGAAACCACGGGCAAACGCGUAGCUAGCACCUUGAGUGUACUGUAAACACGAUUUUGAGCGAAUGAUUUACUGCCACCCGCAGGCACAGCCCCGGGGGAAGCACACCGGGUCCGUCCUGGGCCUCCUCUCCUCGGAUCCUGCCCGGCGCCCGGCGCCCUGCGUUCCCGACCGACCAGGGUCCCGACACCCGCGGGCCGGGCUGCAGGGAGGGGAGGCGUCAGCGGCACAGGCCGUUCCCGGCGGUAAUUAGCCGGUGUCUGCUCCCGCCUCGCCAGCCGCUAAUUACACGUCUCCUAAUGAGGCCGGCGGCUGUUUGCAAUCACUUGGGUCCCCGCCGCUCGGCGCGGGAGGCCGUGGGGGAAUCCGCCCGCGGGGGCGUGGACGGCGGUUGCAGCCCGGGACCGCUAGAUCCGCUGGGCGGAGGCGGGGGUGCGCCCCGGCGGCGUCUGCUACGCAAUGUGCGCCUGGCUCAGUCAGUCUUUGGAAUCAUUAUCAUCCCACUUUACAGAUGAGGAAGGGGGCUGAGGCUCGGAAAAGCGAACUCAGGCGCAAAACUCAAGCUGAAAUAAUCUAAUCCAGUGCUCUUAACACGGUUCUCACCAUCAAUUUGCCCUUUUGGAUCAGGCACAAAACCGAGUAUCAGCUCCAGUAAGGCCUUUAAAGUUUACUUGGAAAGGCAGUGGUUAUCGAGAGACCAGUAACGUGGGCCAGUUAGAUGGCGGUUAGAAGUCCCAUCAGCCCCUGGGCGGCGCCACAGCAGGCCCCUCUCCCAAGCGAGCAACUGUCACCGAGCGACCCUUCAUGGGCUAUUCAGCCAACAGUCAUUGGAGUGGUGGUCCGUCAGGAGGAGAGUAAGCACUGCGGUCUUUUCCAAGGAGUCAGUUCUUCGCAUCAAGUGGCCAAAGUAUUGGAGCUUCAGCUUCAGCAUCAGUCCUUCCAAUGAAUAUUCAGGACUGAUUUCCUUUAGAAUUGACUGGUUUAAUCUCCUUGCCAUUCAAGGAACUCUCAAGUCUUCUAAAAAUAAAUAAAUAAA
ensembl:lncRNA